CCUACGGGUGGCAGCAGUGAGGAAUAUUGGUCAAUGGCCGGAAGGCUGAACCAGCCAAGCCGCGUGAAGGACGAAGGUGCCAAGUAUUGUAAACCUCUUUUGUCAAGGGACAAAAUCAGGCUCGCGUGCCCGACUGAGUGUACCUGAAGAAAAAGCAUCGGCUAACUCCGUGCCAGCAGCCGCGGUAAUACGGAGGAUGCGAGCGUUAUCCGGAUUUAUUGGGUUUAAAGGGUGCGUAGGCGGUCUGUUAAGUCAGCGGUAAAAGCCCGGGGCUCAACCCCGGCACGCCGUUGAAACUGGCAGUCUUGAGAUGGCGAGAAGUAUGCGGAAUGCGCGGUGUAGCGGGGAAAUGCUUAGAUAUUGCGCAGAACUCCGAUUGCGAAGGCAGCAUGCCGGCGGCAAUCUGACGCUGAGGCACGAAAGCGUGGGUAUCGAACAGGAUUAGAUACCCCUGUAGUC
rnacentral:rRNA from 1 species